rfam:Ruminococcus torques L2-14 draft genome.
AACCGCCGUAUACGGAACCGUACGUACGGUGGUGUGGGAGGACGGUAAAUAAAAUAAUUAUUUACCUCCUACCCGAU